GCACCAGUGAGGUUAUCAAUGGAAAGCCAUUAAUAUAGAUGUGUUGUAUCAGUGUAAUGUGAGGCUUAGACUUAAAGGUGUCUCUGUCACAGUCAUAGACAUACACUUUUUCUCUUGAAUAAAUUUACUUACCUAUACCUCUGGUUUGCACAUUUCUAGUAUACCCAGGUUAGCGUGGGGUGUUUAUGCUGCAUUGAGAUGACUGCAGGCUAAACACGCCUUUGCAAUGGCAAACAGCUGGAAUAACUCAGCUAAGGUUUGGAGGCUGGGAAAGGAGAGGAGAGAAGAAGGGGAAGGGGAAGGAAGCUCCUUGAACGCAUGUUUCCGCUUGGCGAAGCUGACUGACUACUGGGGACACGGAGAGCAAGUAGCUGGAAGGACAGGAGCGCAGGCCUGAGCAGCGUUUCAGAGCCAUGGGGCUGAGGCUGGUGCUUGCAUCGCUCGCCUGGUUGGGGGCUCUUGCACUGCCCCACUGAUCUGAUUCCAGCUCACCUGGAAAAAAGCAAGUGUCACAGAAACACACCCCAGCAGUUCUUAAUGAUACAACACACAUUGUCUCCAUUUGUCUACUUGAAAGACACUGCACAUCUUUACCUGCAGUUUGUCUUCUGAGUGGGCUGCAGCGGGUCGGCGCUCACAGGCGCUCGCCUUGGCGGUGACUGUUGU